rnacentral:siRNA from 1 species
GUGAAGUCGGUGUUCGAUGAC